rnacentral:rRNA from 1 species
AUUGAACGCUGGCGGCAUGCCUUACACAUGCAAGUCGAACGGUAACAGGUCUUCGGAUGCUGACGAGUGGCGAACGGGUGAGUAAUACAUCGGAACGUGCCUAGUAGGGGGGGAUAACAGCUCGAAAGAGUGGCUAAUACCGCAUGAGAUCUACGGAUGAAAGCAGGGGAUCGCAAGACCUUGUGCUACUCGAGCGGCCGAUGGCAGAUUAGUUAGUUGGUGGGAUAAAAUCUUACCAAGCCGAAGAUCUGUAGCUGGUCUGAGAGGACGAUCAGCCACACUGUGACUGAGACACGGCCCAGACUCCUACGGGAGGCAGCAGUGGGGAAUUUUGGACAAUGGGCGCAAGCCUGAUCCAGCAAGGCCGCGUGCAGGAUGAAGGCCUUCGGGUUGUAAACUGCUUUUGUACGGAACGAAAAGCCCUGGGUUAAUACCCUGGGGUCAUGACGGUACCGUAAGAAUAAGCACCGGCUAACUACGUGCCAGCCGCCGCCGUAA